UACGUAGGGAGCAAGCGUUGUCCGGAAUCACUGGGCGUAAAGCGCACGUAGGCGGCUUCUUAAGUCAGGGGUGAAAUCCUGGAGCUCAACUCCAGAACUGCCUUUGAUACUGGCGGUCUCGAGUCCGGGAGAGGUGAGUGGAACUGCGAGUGUAGAGGUGAAAUUCGUAGAUAUUCGCAAGAACACCAGUGGCGAAGGCGGCUCACUGGCCCGGUACUGACGCUGAGGUGCGAAAGCGUGGGGAGCAAACAGG
rnacentral:rRNA from 1 species